GACGUAGGGCGCGAGGCGUUGUCCGGAUUUAUUUGGGCGUAAAGAGCUACGUAGGCGGCUUGUCGCGUCGUCCGUGAAAACCUGCAGCUCAACUGCAGGCUUGCGGUCGAUACGGGCAGGCUAGAGUUCGGUAGGGGAGACUGGAAUUCCUGGUGUAGCGGUGAAAUGCGCAGAUAUCAGGAGGAACACCGAUGGCGAAGGCAGGUCCCCUGGGCCACUACUGACGCUGAGAAGCGAAAAGCAUGGGGGAGCGAACAGGA
rnacentral:rRNA from 1 species